UCCGGGGUAGCUCAACGGCAGAGCAUUCGGCUGUUAACCGAAGGGUUGUGGGUUCGAAUCCCACCCCCGGAG
rnacentral:tRNA from 1 species